rnacentral:ncRNA from 1 species
AAAAUCCAACUUAGGCAAAGUCUAGCCAACAGCCUAGAACAAACCAUUAUGCUGCGUAAGGUAACGAACGUAGUAAAGCUAAUGGAAUGGACAAUACAGGGUGCAACGAAAGUGAAGGUAUUGAGUUCCGAAAUUGCCAACAUCAUGGAGGUCGACACUUUCCAUAUAGUGGAAGACAGUAUGAAGGAUAACGACAAGGCAAGUUAUCACUGGGAUCUGAGGCCG